CUCAUCUUUGAUGAUACCAGCCCAAACCAGUACUCCACCUCCACCUUGCUGGCAUCUGAGUCGGACUGGAGCUCUCUGCCCUUUACCAAUCCAGCCACGGGCCCAUCCAUCUGGCCCAUCAGACUCACUCUCAUUUCAUCAGUCCAUAAAACCUUAGAAAAAUCAGUCUUGAGAUAUUUCUUGGCCCAGUCUUGACGUUUCAGCUUGUGUGUCUUGUUUAGUGGUGGUCGUCUU